UCAGGGGUUACUCAAGGAAAAUGCAAAUGGUAGCAAAUACUGGGCAUAUGGAGGUGACUUUGGAGAUACACCAAAUGACUUAAAUUUCUGCUUAAAUGGUCUCAUAUGGCCUGAUCGGACUCCUCAUCCUGCUCUAAAUGAGGUCAAGUAUUGCUAUCAACCAAUUAAAAUUUCGUUCACCAAUGGCGUAAUUAAGAUUACAAACACCAAUUUCUUUCAAACAACAGAAGAUUUAGAGUUUAAUUGGGUGAUUGAAGGUGAUGGAUGUAAACUUGAUUCUGGAACUCUCAGUCUACCAACAUUAGAG